rnacentral:piRNA from 1 species
CACUAUAACGUGGUGUCCCAAGAUCCUUCU